rnacentral:rRNA from 1 species
UACAGAGGUCUCAAGCGUUAGGCGGAAUCACUGGGCUUAAAGCGUGUGUAGGUGGGUUUGUAAGUACCUUGUGAAAUCCCAUGGCUCAACCAUGGAACUGCUUGGUAUACUGCGAAUCUUGAGCUGUCUAGAGGUUACUGGAACAAACGGUGGAGAGGUGAAAUGCGUAGAUAUCGUUUGGAACGCCAAUGGUGAAAACAGGUAACUGGGAACACGCUGACGCUGAGACACGAAAGCGAGGGGAGCAAACGGG